UUUUUGUAUUACGACUAAAGGACCCGAAUUUAGGUGAUCCUAGUAAAUUAUAUUUUUUUCCUCAUUUAAAAGAGGAUAAAUCUACGUACGAUCUCAAAAAGAAUAUCGAACCUAAAAAACUGAUUGUAACUGUUAUCAACAAAUGAAUAAAAGUAAUAUUUAACGAUGAAGUUAAAUUAAAAAUGAAAAAAUUCCAAAAAAUACUGGGAAAAUAGAGAAAUUCCUUUUAAGUUACCUAAAAAAAAAAUCUAUAGAAAGAAAUUAAUUUAAAGAACUGGAUAAAUUUUCCCCGACUGUUUAUCAAAAACAUUUCUUCAAAUGAGAAAAGGAAGUAUGCCCUGCUCAAUGUAAUAAUUAUUUAUAGCAUAAAUGCUAAGGUAGCAUAAUUACUAGUCGCUUAAUUGGCGAAUUGUCUGAACGGGUUAACGAGGGAGAAUUUUUCUUAAGUUUAAAAAUUAAGUAUGAGGUGAGAUCUCCUCAACUACUCAAUUAGACGAUAAGACCCUUUAAUCAAUUUUUUUUAAAAAAAUUAUUGUUGGGGCAACAAAGAGCGAAACUCUCUAUUUAUAUUUUCUACCAUAAUUUGAUAUGAUACUAGAGGGAUAACAGCAUAAUAUUUUCAUAAAAGAUCCUAUUUUAUGAGAAGAGUAUGACCUCGAUGUUGAACCAGAGAAAAU
rnacentral:rRNA from 1 species